AUUGAACGCUGGCGGCAUGCUUUACACAUGCAAGUCGAACGGCAGCGGGGGAGAGCUUGCUUUCCUGCCGGCGAGUGGCGAACGGGUGAGUAAUGCAUCGGAACGUACCGAGUAGUGGGGGAUAACUGUCCGAAAGGAUGGCUAAUACCGCAUACGCUUUGCGAAGGAAAGCGGGGGCUCUUAGGACCUCGCGCUAUUCGAGCGGCCGAUGUCUGAUUAGCUAGUUGGUGGGGUAAAGGCCUACCAAGGCGACGAUCAGUAGCGGGUCUGAGAGGAUGAUCCGCCACACUGGGACUGAGACACGGCCCAGACUCCUACGGGAGGCAGCAGUGGGGAAUUUUGGACAAUGGGGGGAACCCUGAUCCAGCCAUGCCGCGUGUCUGAAGAAGGCCUUCGGGUUGUAAAGGACUUUUGUCAGGGAAGAAAAGCUUCGGGUUAAUACCCUGGAGUGAUGACGGUACCUGAAGAAUAAGCACCGGCUAACUACGUGCCAGCAGCCGCGGUAAUACGUAGGGUGCGAGCGUUAAUCGGAAUUACUGGGCGUAAAGCGGGCGCAGACGGUUACUUAAGUCAGAUGUGAAAUCCCCGGGCUCAACCUGGGAACUGCGUUUGAAACUGGGUGACUAGAGUAUGUCAGAGGGGGGUAGAAUUCCACGUGUAGCAGUGAAAUGCGUAGAGAUGUGGAGGAAUACCGAUGGCGAA
rnacentral:rRNA from 1 species